AAACAGAUAGAAAAGAGACGUGCUGAAGUAACUCCUCCAUUUUAGGAGAAAGAGAAACCCGUGGCGGAAGAUGUUCAAUAAGUUCGGAGCAACGAAGGAGACUAAGCAAGGCCUCGACAAUGGUGUUCCAGAUCGGCACCGACGCCCAUCUCUACGAGGAUCCCCAAGACGUCAGCGUCGCUCCUCUCCAUUCGACUCCGACAAGUGCGAGGCUCUCAAGCGAUUGCUCGCUCUCAUCGCCCAGGGCUUUCAAGUCUCCAAUUUCUUCCCUGAGAUUCUAGGAUUGUUGUUAUUCAUCCAUUUCCCCAGUUUUUCCCAAUCUUUUCCUGCUUUUUCCCAUACGAAGUGCAUUGCAGGAACGAGAGAUAGAGGUACUGCGUUGUAUGACGGAGGAGGGAUAGGCCGAGCAACAUAUGGCUAUUUUUAACGGAACCAAAGUCGCAUAGGCCGCAGCCCGCAACUGACCAACCAAAGGAUUUGGUUGAGCUACAGGUGCAUCAACCAUUUAAUAUAAGUGUGCACAGCCUCGACAUUACAAGGCCUUCAAAUUCUCUGUUUUGGUUUUUGACAGAUUAUAUUAGAUUUUAUUGAUGUUCGUUUGUUGAAGUUCUUGAUUCAAGAACAUAUAUCUUUUCAAUGUCUACUAUUUAGUUUCUGUUGAGUUUAAGUUUGAGUUUUAGUGG